AACGCACAUUGCGCCCGCCAGUAUUCUGGCGGGCAUGCCUGUUCGAGCGUCAUUUCAACCCUCAAGCCCCCGGGCUUGGUGUUGGAGAUCGGCGUGCCCCCCCGGGGCGCGCCGGCUCCCAAAUAUAGUGGCGGUCUCGCUGUAGCUUCCUCUGCGUAGUAGCACACCUCGCACUGGAAAACAGCGUGGCCACGCCGUUAAACCCCCCACUUCUGAAAGGUUGACCUCGGAUCAGGUAGGAAUACCCGCUGAACUUAA
rnacentral:misc_RNA from 2 species